GGGUUGUGAGGUUAAGCGACUAAGCGUACACGGUGGAUGCCCUGGCAGUCAGAGGCGAUGAAGGACGUGCUAAUCUGCGAUAAGCGCCGGUAAGGUGAUAUGAACCGUUAUAACCGGCGAUUUCCGAAUGGGGAAACCCAGUGUGAUUCGUCACACUAUCAUUAACUGAAUCCAUAGGUUAAUGAGGCGAACCGGGGGAACUGAAACAUCUAAGUACCCCGAGGAAAAGAAAUCAACCGAGAUUCCCCCAGUAGCGGCGAGCGAACGGGGAGGAGCCCAGAGCCUGAAUCAGCAUGUGUGUUAGUGGAAGCGUCUGGAAAGGCGCGCGAUACAGGGUGACAGCCCCGUACACAAAAGCGCAUGUGUUGUGAGCUCGAUGAGUAGGGCGGGACACGUGGUAUCCUGUCUGAAUAUGGGGGGACCAUCCUCCAAGGCUAAAUACUCCUGACUGACCGAUAGUGAACCAGUACCGUGAGGGAAAGGCGAAAAGAACCCCGGCGAGGGGAGUGAAAAAGAACCUGAAACCGUGUACGUACAAGCAGUGGGAGCACAGGUUUACCUGUGUGACUGCGUACCUUUUGUAUAAUGGGUCAGCGACUUAUAUUCUGUAGCAAGGUUAACCGAAUAGGGGAGCCGGAGGGAAACCGAGUCUUAACCGGGCGUUAAGUUGCAGGGUAUAGACCCGAAACCCGGUGAUCUAGCCAUGGGCAGGUUGAAG
rnacentral:rRNA from 1 species